GACGAACGCUGGCGGCGUGCUUAACACAUGCAAGUCGAACGGAAAGGCCCUGCUUGCAGGGUGCUCGAGUGGCGAACGGGUGAGUAACACGUGGGUGAUCUGCCCCUUACUUUGGGAUAAGCCUGGGAAACUGGGUCUAAUACUGGAUAGGACCAUGCUGUAGGUGGUGUGGUGGAAAGAUUAGUUUCGGUAAGGGAUGAGCUCGCGGCCUAUCAGCUUGUUGGUGGGGUAAUGGCCUACCAAGGCGUCGACGGGUAGCCGGCCUGAGAGGGUGGACGGCCACAUUGGGACUGAGAUACGGCCCAGACUCCUACGGGAGGCAGCAGUGGGGAAUAUUGCACAAUGGGCGCAAGCCUGAUGCGGCGACGCCGCGUGGGGGAUGACGGCCUUCGGGUUGUAAACUCCUUUCAGCCAUGACGAAGCCUUCGGGUGACGGUAGUGGUAGAAGAAGCACCGGCUAACUACGUG
rnacentral:rRNA from 1 species